CAGUAGCCACGGUAAUACGGAGGGAGCUAGCGUUAUUCGGAAUUACUGGGCGUAAAGCGCACGUAGGCGGCUUUGUAAGUAAGAGGUGAAAGCCCGGAGCUCAACUCCGGAACUGCCUUUUAGACUGCAUCGCUUGAAUCCAGGAGAGGUGAGUGGAAUUCCGAGUGUAGAGGUGAAAUUCGUAGAUAUUCGGAAGAACACCAGUGGCGCAGGCGGCUCACUGGACUGGUAUUGACGCUGAGGUGCGAAAGCGUGGGGAGCAAACAGGAUUAGAUACCCGUGUAGUCCCUGUCUCUUAUAA
rnacentral:rRNA from 1 species